rnacentral:rRNA from 1 species
CCUACGGGAGGCAGCAGUGGGGAAUAUUGGGCAAUGGGCGUAAGCCUGACCCAGCAACGUCGCGUGAAGGAAGAAGGCUCUCGGGUUGUAAACUUCUUUUUAUAGGGAAGUGCAGAAGUCGGUACCUGAGGAAUAACCUAUGGCUAACUACGUGCCAGCAGCCGCGGUAAUACGUAGGUGGCCAGUGUUAUCCGGAUUUACUGGGUGUAAAGGGCGUGUAGGCGGGAAAGCAAGUCAGAUGUGAAUACCAUGGGCUCAACCUGUGGCCUGCAUUUGAAACUGUUUUUCUUGAGUACUGGGGAGGCAGACGGAAUGCGUGGUGUAGCGGUGAAAUGCGUAGAUAUUAGGAGGAACACCAGUGGCGAAGGCGGUCUGCUAGACAACAACUGACGCUGAGGCGCGAAAGCGUGGGGAGCAAACAGGAUUAGAUACCCCAGUAGUC